ensembl:lncRNA
CCGCCGCUAGGCCAGCAGGUGGAGGGCUCCCACAGGAAGGAUAGGUUUCGUUGACCUGCUUAAUGCAAACUAAAACCAGUUUUCGAUUGGCGAGUUCCAGAGGACGAGGGCUUCAGCCGGGCCCCAGCACCUUCCCGAAAGAUAAUUGGCCCACCUGCUAUGGGACCUGGAGACCUCCUGCUUACCGCGGUCUACAAGAGCUUUGUAACAGUAAUUUCUGCCCAAAGGAGACUUAAAACAAAAAACAAAAAACAAAAAUCCAAAACGAGUAAAAACUAAAAUGAGCAUUUCUGGCAGAACCCAGUCUGGCUCUGCCCGACAUCAGCUGCCCGAGGAUCUGAAGAUUUGGCUUUUAAGGGUAAUCACCAGUAAGUAACUGGUAAAGCUCUUUGCUGCGUCUCCUCGCGAUGCAAAGUGGUCCCAGUAGCCGGAAGGGAAGGGAAGGAGAGGACAGGACAGGACAGAAAAGAAAUAGGAGUCAGCUUCUCUUCUUUCUCAGAGUGGGGGUCAAGGGGAGGGGGUGAACAGCCUGGUCGAAUCUUGGCGAGACGGCCUUGAGCUUCAGCAGCUUUGCCCUUUUAAUUAGCGCCAACUACCUUCUAUCCGCAGCCCUCGGGCUCCGGUGCUCUUCCCCCUCACCCCGGACUUUUUAGAUGUACCAACUCCAUCCCGGGGCCAGGGUUGGGGUCUUCAAGCCUCGAAGAUCCCAAGACCCAGAGGGACAGAGAAAGGAGCCGUGGUCCCGGCGGGCGGGACCUUCUUGGCCACGCACCGAGGUAACAAGGUUGUAUAAAUCGUUGCUUACCCUCCCACCUCCCUCCUUUUGCAUGUCUUUAAGAGUCACUGGAACCUGAGUGGAGAGGUUUGGCAAUUGCCAUCUUUAUAGAGACCGAGGUGGAAGUGGUGGUGGUGAAGGUGGGGGAUCAGAGACAUUUCUGCCUUCCAAGGAUUUAGGGGCUUCGCGCUGGAUUGGGAACUCCGAAACCAAAAAGAAGGGAAAGGAUGACCCAGCUGAUUUUAGACCCGGGGAAGAGCUGUGCUAAUUCACUCGCUGGACUUCACCUGCAGUCUGUGCAAGGAGAGAUCGGAGUGAGAUCCGUCUUACUCAGUCUACACUCGGACAAAGGCGUCUCGGAUGGCGCCUGCUGCCCUCACUAGAUUUUCCGGUUCCCCUCGGGCUGCCUCAGAACGUGGUGUGGGGACGGGGGCAGGUGUGAGCCAGAGGGACAUCGCGCUCUCCCAGGUAGCUCUCCGGGCCGAAGCUGUUGGCCGGCACGUGGCAGGAGCUUUCUUCUGGGAGUCGAGCCGAGUGCAGGCUCCUUCUGCGACUCCCUGGGUCAGCCCCUGGCCAAAGGCCGCCACUCUAAAGCCUGUCAGACGGCUCCAAGUUCGGGGACCAGCCAGCCAGUGUGCAGAGGAACUCGCGGGUCCCAGGAGCCUGGCGGGCUCUAUCUCCCAUGGGGGGUAGGAAUGAGCACCGUUGCUUUUGACAUUCACUCUCCUGGUGGGGAUUGUAAAGCUCAGACGCUCCUCCCCUCCCCCCAAGACUGGACGCCCCGUCGGGGCUUCGCAGGGCCGGAUUUCUCUUGGCCCAGUGCAAAUUGUAUCGAGCUGACAAACUGACUAGUCACGAACGGAAUUUAGGGAGAUGAAAACGGAAAGUUGGACCCCUUAUCCCACUUGAGACUUGAUAAUGAUGGUGAUGAUGAUGAUGAUGAUGAUGAUGUUAAGCUCUGCCAGCCUGGCUGGUUAGAAUGAGCCAGCAGCUGAGGGAAGCAAUAAAGGGAGAGGAAAUUUCUGCUCUGCACCCGGGGGGAAUCGUCCUGUUUGGGGAAAUCGUGGAGAAAUCACCGCUCUGGGGACAAUGGUGUAGGCUGGAGAGGGGGGACUGAGGAGAGGUGGACAGGACGCCGGCCCAGACCGAGGCACGCACAGUCAACUGUUUUCCCGAGACAAAGACUGCAGAAACGCAAUGCACAAAGAGAGACAUACAGACAUAAUAAAGUCACACACCCCAAUAGACACAAACACACAGGCGGCGGACACACACAGAGACGUACACUACGAGCCUACGGACGCACAAUGCAGAUACUCCCAGCCAUACAACAGGCACACGUACACACCCCGAAGACACGCGCUACUCCCGACACAAGUUGGCGGAUUGGCACGGGGGCGCCCAAGCAAACUAUCUGCAUACCCCAGACACAGUUGCCACACGUAUACUAGAACUACACAACACGGAGCUUUACAUACGGCGCGGACACACACCCACCACAAACAGGCACACUACAUACAUGCAACGGACACAACAUGCAGACCUCAAAGACACGCCCACACUCAAAAGCACGUUUGAAUUUCUCUCUUGAGAGAUUUCAACGAAGCCAAACCUCUAGGAAAGUCUCUCUCUCUCUGCAACUUGGAAGAGAAGGGUUGGACAGCUCUCCGUGGAGUCCCAGUCUCAUACCCCCAAACCCACUCCACGAGCCCGUCCGCCCAGCUUGCCCUUUAACCUCUGUCCCUUGGGUGUCUUUAUUUUGGGGAAUACGUUCCUAAAUUGCUGCUACCUCCAAGGCUUGCGAAUCCAAACGAAUCGAUUUUCCUUAUAGAUUAAAAAAAAGAAAAGAAAAUGUGUGACAGAGACAGAGAGAGACAGACAGAGAGAGAGAGAGAGAGAGAGAGAAGAGAAUGAGAAUAUGAAUAAUCUUCCCUUUCUCAGACUUAAAAGAAUUAACUUCUAGCUCAGCUUUUAGAAUCAGUCAUAGAAGAAGCUACCGAAGAGAAUCCAUAUCAUAACCGAGAGAGCGCCCUUGGUCUGCAUCCCGACUCUGAUACCUAUUUUAUCCUUGGGAACGAACCUCAGUUUCCUUUCUUUGUAAAAUGGGGCUGUUAUGUGUAAUGCUCAUUUAACAAUGUGACUGUGAGACAAACACAGUCCUAGCUGUCAAGCUUUUGGUAAAUCUUAAAGCGUAAUAGAAAAGCAAGUUAUUGAGACUGAAGUUUUGUCCAAAGAUCGAUAGACCUCCUCUCCAAUCGGGUGGACUAGCCCAAAGCCAGUGGACUGCGUGACUUUCCGAUUCAGAGAACAAUUGAAUUGGACGGGAAUAUUUUAUUUUUACAGCAUUUCGUUUGCCUGCGUUUCUAGAGUAUGGUGGCUCCAUCCAGGAAGCUCCAAGCGCUCUCCAAUUUUUAAUAUCAGAGGAUUUAGAAAAUAAAAUAAAACCAAAAAAGGGGAUCCACACCUGUGGAACUAGAGCUGUAGAGCCCCUGCGGGCUAUCUUCUCCUGCCCUCUGGCUAGGUGCUAGAUUUGAUUGUCUUCCUCCUUCCUCUCCUCACCUGCCCCCUCCUCAGUAGCUAUCCACCUCCAACUUUUCCUAGAGAGCGCAAAGUCAGCUAACCAACGAGCACUCGAGCCUCUCUGCUCUCCCCACUGUGGAAUUUUCUCAGUCUCCAAGACUCAGCGGGUUCUAGCUUGCAUUUGUGUUUAUCGCAGGCAAGACCAAAUGCAUCUCCAGCGGCGCCUUUUAGCUCAGUCUCCCCAGCCAUUCCCGAACCUAGCGGGCUAGGCCAGGUACUCAGGAGCCCGUGCAGGCAAACGAAGUCCCGGCAAGUCUUUGAGGUUAGCUUAGGCUCCCUUGACAGGAAGCGACCUGGGAGACUAACUUUCUCUGUUUCUGUGCAGCUCAACCCAGCUCCCAGAGCACCUCGCAAACGUAACCUCAGCUAAGCUUUCCCAUAUUCUGAGGAGGUGGGCAGGGCAGGGCAGAAAUGAUGUUCCCCAUUUGGCAGUGGGGAAAACUGAGGCCCAGAGGGCACCUGACUUGCUUAAGGUCACAAAUUAGAGAUGGAGCCGGGAAGAGAAUUCAGAUUAACAUAAAAAGUUUCAAGGGACUUGAGAAGUCGUCUGGACCAAGCCUCUCGUUGUACAGAUGAGGAAACAGAGAUCGAGAGAGGUUACCCAGCAGUGAGAGAUUGACAUUAGAACCAGAUCCCUCUGCCAAUAAAUCCAGUACAUUUUCUGCAUUUCUCUCUUGGCUCUUUUUAAAAUAAUAAACAAAGGUAACUUCAAUUGUUGACUGGUCCCCUGGAGAUGUGUGUGUGUGUAUGUGUAUGUGUGUAUUUCCACUUGUCCCUACUUUUCCACGAAAACAUGUAAGGUGCCCCUUUACCUCUCCCGGAAUCAAAAAGAGGCUGGGACGCGAGUGAGUUAUUGUUAAUCCCAGCAUCCCCACCUCAGCCUAGCCUUUGUCUUCCAAGACUCCCAGGAGCCUGGUGAGCAGCCGCAUUGGGCAUCAGAAGAAUUCAGGAGUCCUAGAGUCUAGUAAAGAGAUGAGGGGAUGGUGAGCGCUUUAUCCGUUCCUGUUUAGUGGUUUUGAGGUGUGAUGUACGUAGAGGGAGAUCUGGUCCGGAAGAAGGUCGCCAGAGGCAGGAUAGAAAGUAAUGAGGGGGCCGACUUAUCCUCUCCCCCUUUUCUUCAGCAGACAGUCAUUAACGACGUUGCCUAUCCCAAUGAUCACUGUAGGGUCCGAGACCUCCGAGGCAGAAAGCCCACUAGCCCCAUCCCAUGGAGGUGGGACGUGAAAGCCUGGGGCAGUCCAGUUUCCGGGAGCACAGUGUAGAGAAUCUCGCCUGACCGAGACCCAGAAUCUUCAGCCAAUGGGCAACCUAGCGAGUUGCCAAACGAUCGGGAAAGUGGU